UCCGGAUAUUGGCAGCGAUGUGGUUAUAAUUUAGGAUGUACCACUUAGAUUUCGUUAUGUCAAAAGUCCAUUGUUUUGCCAUUUCUUGCGUAUAUAUGUAUAUAUAUAUUAAUAAUAAUAAUAAAAGCUGUUCGACCUUGGCCCACGUAAAUAAUUCGUCACGUGUAACAAUCCCUCCAUAAUAUCAUUCCUCUUAGUAUGAUGUUUCCGGUUUGGUUGCACGCUUUUCUUGAUAUUGAGUUCCCCCUUUCGGUUAUAAACAUGAACAGCAACGUUUAACCGAGAGGUUCACCGGGGGACACGCACAUCGUCUGCCCUACAUAAAAUGCACCCAUUGUAGGCCGAGGUGUCAGCUGAGGACUACUUGCAACCUAGAAACGGCGGUUUGGCCCCUCCUUCCCUUUGUCAGUCCGAUUGUAAACGUUAGUCCGGGGUCUUCUGGGGUAUUCUUAUUUUCAAAAACAGAUUCUAAAAUCGGCAUUAAAUUGCAGAGGUGACGCUUCAACCAUGCGAAAGGAGUUUUCUUCUUUUUCAUCAAACCUUUUUGAGACCCCUCACGAUUUUAUCAAAGGCGUUGUCUCGCGGAACUGUGCCCAAUGACAUCAUCCCCGCCUUUUGUUUACAGUUGCUAGGGGUUACAGGGUGACAUUUUUCAAACAGUCCUGCUCUAGAUUUGUUCGGGAUACGCGGUCCAGUUUCUAUAUUAACACAAAACGGACUAAACACAAAGUUUCGUAUUUAUUUUGAACAGAUGCUAUACUACAACAGUAACGUUAUUCACUUUCAAACUUUGUGAGAUGGCAGAUUCUGGUCUAUCAGAAAAAGCACUCAUCACCGAGAGUGCGGAGACCAUUCGUGCUACCUCAGUGUUCACGGACCCUUAUGAACGCUCUGUUAACUAUAUGGAGACUCACAGUAUUCUUCAGAUUUUCCAGGACAUCACAGAGAAACUGGUUUUUGAUAGACCAGACGAUCCACUGCAGUUCAUGUUAGAACAGGUGCAAAUGAAGAUCAAAAUCCGUGAUGAGUCAAGCAACACAUUUCUGAAAUCAUAAUGAAUUCUAAAGCAAAGUAACCAGGGCUUUGCAACAAAAUGAAUCCAAGUUUAUUCUUUUAUUUAUAUAUUUCUUCAAAUAAGGUGUAUUGGUUGCUGUCAUUCCGUGACUCUGUAUUGUUGUUUCCAAGCAACUGUCUUUAUUUAUUUAUUUAUUUUUUUUUUUUUGCUCCAAACUUACCAUGUUUUUCCACAAUUUUUUGAGAGUAUUAGCAUUCAUUUUCAGUCAAACAACGCUGAAAUCUUAAUAAUGUAGUUUGUGAGUGUCUUUGACCUAAAUAUCUCAAUGAACGCACUCAAGUGGAAAGUUAAAGCUAUUAAAUUUAAAAAAUAAAAUAAAAAAUAAAACAUUUAAAAGAGGAAUUACUUACAAGCUUUCUCUGUUUUUUAGAGACACAGUAUCUGAGAAUUAUAAUUACUGUUAGUUACUGUUUUAUGAAUUAACUAUGUUUUAUAAGAUAAAACAACUUCUGUAUAAGACAUGAUACAAGUCUUCUCCAAAAUAAAUAAAUCAAUAAAAUGAUAGCUAGACAAAUUUAGCUGGCUUUUAUGCAAUGUAGGCCUGCUUGAAUUUAAAUGGUAGAUUUUGGCUGCGCAAGUAAAGGAAGUCUUUGUUUAUAGUAGGGUCUUAUUGCAGUGUAUUUCUAUAGUUAUCUGCUGUGUAUUUACUCUAGAGAAACAUCUGGUGUUUCAAGACUGGUGUAUCACAUGCAAUCAUUUCAUUUGUAAAUAAAAAUAAGUUCAAAAUAUCUUCACAGUUACAUUGUCUAUUUGCAUUUAUUGCAUUUAUUAUUGUUAUAUAUAUUUCUUUUAGCUUUGGGCUAAAGGUGUGUCAGUGGCUUAACUAGUAAUAAUUGAAAAUUGCCUCCAACACUGGGAAAUGCUAUAACUACAGCAAAUACUCUUAAAAUGUGGGAAAUUGUUUCACUAUAAAUAUUAUGAAUAUUAAAGUAAUUCCUAGCUAGUUUAUGAAAAUAUGAACAUUGUUCUGCAACAUAACAUGAACAUGAUUCAUAUUCUCAUAGACAGUAUGUACACUGUUUAAUUUCAAAUGUAAAUUGUUCUAUAUUCCCCAGUGACUCAACUUACCCUUGACAUGACACAGCUACAGCUUGAGGCAAGUUGGGUCCCUGGACCAAUUUACUUAUAUGCUAGUUAUUAUAUACAUGCAUAUAUAAUUAUACAUUUCUGUGACCCUGUAUUAUAGAUGAUUGCUGCUCUUUAUAUUUGACUACUAGACAACUGUAUUUGGCACAACUUACCCUGUAUAUGUAGGAACUACUUUAUUAUUAU